GGCUCCUUGGGAUAGAUGGGGAGGCUGAGGCCCAGAAGGGGGCUGAGACCACCUCCCAGUUUCCCCAGCGAGGUGGCGCCUGAGCCACGGCCAGGCCCGGCCUCCUUCCACCCGGCCCUGCUGUGCGCGCGGCAGGUGCUGACCUGGCGAGGCCCGACAGGGGACCAGGUCGGGGUGACCGUCACUGACACCUGGACAGUCCUCGUUGUGUUCGGGGUGGGAAGCCCACGGGGAAGAGUGUAUCACAGCCAUUGGGAACUUUCUUCACCCAUCAAAGCCUCAGGGCUGAAGCAUCCUGAACAAGAACUCAGGAGAGUGAAAGAAACAGUUACCUGUCGGCUGCAGCUGGUACCAGCUCCCCACCCUGUACAGAGACCGAAGCGUCCUCUCUCUCCCCAUCACCCAGCACCAGACUCUGCCCCGUGACCUCAGCCUGCACCUGCUUCCUGGCUCCAUCCAGCCUUCCAGCCUCACUAGAUCAUCAUGGGCCACUGGCCAACACACAGGGCAGUGCCGAGCCCAGGCCGUGGUCACACAUGGCUGGUUUAGUAGCUGAAAACAUUGUUUUUCACUGGCCUCACAGUAAUGGCACCUGCCCCCAUUUUCUGUGAUUGAAUUUUUGGAUCCUGCUACCAGGUUAUGAUAGAUUUUAUGGUAUGUCUCAAGAUGUUGAGAUAAAGGUAAUAAAACAGCUAUAAAGUCCUGGCUCAAGAAGUGUUACAAACCCAAGCAGGGUAACUACAAGAAAACUGCACCCAGACACAACAUAGUAAAAUUGCUGAAAACCAAAGAUGAAUAGAACACUUAACAGUUGGAGGAAAAAAGCCACAUUACCUUCAUAAGGACACCAAUCACACUAACAUCUGACUUCGAAAUAGAAAUAUAAAAGCCAAACUACAAGGGAAUGUGAUCUUCAAAAUAUUGAAAGAAUUUAAUUGUUAAGUGAAAUAAUUAACUGCCAACCUAAAUUCUAUUCCUAGUGGAAAUACUCUCCAAGAAUAAAGGUGAAAUAAAUACAGACUCACACAAGAGAAAUCAAGAGUGUUCUUCCUCAGGAGACAUGAGCUGAUUGGUAUAGAAGAGGUGUUUGAAACGUCCUUAGAGGGAGGGCUAGAGACACAGGGAGGAGAAACCUUCAGAACACACCUUCCACUGAGGGCCAAAAAAGUCAACUAUCGAUUCUUUGAAAGUGCCCCAAACUCGUAAAUCUCUGGUGAUGCUGACCAAGAAAACAAUGAAGGAAGGCACCCUGCGAUGGGGAAGGAAAAGGGGAGAUUGCUGGAGAUCUGUGGACAUUAAAAAUAGGCACAUAUACACUAUGGAAUACUAUGCAGCCAUAAAAAAGGAUGAGUUCAUGUCCUUUGUAGUGACAUGGAUGAAGCUGGAAACCAUCAUUCUCAGCAAACUAUCGCAAGGACAGAAAACCAAACACUGCAUGUUCUCACUCAUAGGUGGGAAUUGAACAAUAAGAACACUUGGACACAGGGUGGGGAACAUCACACACCGGGGCCUGUCGGGGGGUGGGGGGAGGGGGGAGGGAUAGCAUUAGGAGAUAUACCUAAUGUAAAUGAUGAGUUAAUGGGUGCAGAACACCAGCAUGGCACAUGGAUACAUAUGUAACAAACCUGCACAUUGUGCACAUGUACCCUAGAACUUAAAGUAUAAUGAUAAUAGAAAAAAAAAUAGAGCACAAGGAACAUGCUAACAAAUUUGAAAGUUUCGAUGAGAUGGAAAAAUUCCUAGAAAAUUAUAACUACCAAAACUGAAAGAAGAAAGAUAAAUGACCCCACAUUUGUUAAAUAAAUGGGAUCUGUCAUGAAAAUAUUCCACGCAGUGGAACCUCUAGUCACAAAUGCUUCACCAGUGAAUUCUACUAAACAUUUAAGGAAUAAAUAGCACCCAUCUCACACAAACUCUUCUAGAGCCAAGGCAUCAUGGGAACAGCAACUCCACCUGUCAUGUUUCACCUCCAGGAGAACGUGAUACCCAAACUCAACAGAGAAAAAAUAAACUUACAGACCAGUCUCACUCAUGAACAUAGACAGAAAUCCUCAACAAGAUAUUAGCAUAUAAGACCUGGCAGUUGGCCAGGCGUGGUGGCUCACGCCUGUAAUCCCAGCACUUUGGGAGGCUGAGGUGGGUGGAUCACGAGGUCAGGAGAUCGAGACCAUCCUGGCUAACACGGUGAAACCCUGUCUCUACUAAAAAUCAAAAAAUUAGCUAGGUGUGGUAGUGGGCGCCUGUAGUCCCAGCUACUUGGGAGGCUGAGGCAGGAGAAUGGCGUGAACCCGGGAGGCGGAGCUUGCAGUGAACCGAGAUCGCGCCACUGCACUCCAGCCUGGGCGACAGAGCGAGACUCUGUGUCAAAAACAAAAAACAAAUAAACAAAAAAUCCUGGAAGUAUGUAAUGAACAUAUUAAAUUGAGUCAUCUCUCUCUCUCUC